AUACGUAGGGGGCGAGCGUUGUCCGGAAUGAUUGGGCGUAAAGGGCGCGUAGGCGGCGCGGUAAGUCUGGAGUGAAAGUCCUGCUUUCAAGGUGGGAAUUGCUUUGGAUACUGCCGCGCUUGAGUGCAGGAGAGGUUAACGGAAUUCCCGGUGUAGCGGUGAAAUGCGUAGAGAUCGGGAGGAACACCAGCGGCGAAGGCGGGUAACUGGACUGCAACUGACGCUGAGGCGCGAAAGUGUGGGGAGCAAACAGGAUUAGAUACCCUGGUAGUCCACGCCCUAAACGAUGUCAACUGGUGUUGGGUCUUCACUGACUCAGUAACGAAGCUAACGCGUGAAGUUGACCGCCUGGGGAGUACGGCCGCAAGGCUGAAACUCAAAUGAAUUGGCGGGG
rnacentral:rRNA from 1 species